CCUACGGGUGGCAGCAGUGAGGAAUAUUGGUCAAUGGACGAGAGUCUGAACCAGCCAAGUAGCGUGAAGGAUGACUGCCCUAUGGGUUGUAAACUUCUUUUAUAUGGGAAUAAAAUGUUCCACGUGUGGGAUUUUGUAUGUACCAUAUGAAUAAGGUCCGGCUAACUCCGUGCCAGCAGCCGCGGGAAUACGGAGGAUCCGAGCGUUUUCCGGAUUUAUUGGGUUUAAAGGGAGCGUAGGUGGGUUGUUAAUUCAGUUGUGAAAGUUUGCGGCUCAACCGUAAAAUUGCAGUUGAAACUGGCAGUCUUGAGUACAGUAGAGGUGUGCGGAAUGCGUGGUGUAGCGGUGAAAUGCUUAGAUAUCACGAAGAACUCCGAUUGCGAAGGCAGUUCACUGGACUGCAACUGACACUGAGGCUCGAAAGUGUGGGUAUCAAACAGGAUUAGAUACCCGUGUAGUC
rnacentral:rRNA from 1 species